AUUUCUAUACCGCCCUUCUCCCAAAGGACUCAGGGCGGUUUACAGCCAAAGUAAAAACAAUUAGUACUAUUAGUACUAAUUAGUACUAAUUAGUACAAUUAGUAUUUAGACUAAUCUGUGUCUUUCGAGGCACACACACGGGGAAUACAUGCGGUUGGAUUUAAAAUGUAAUUGGACUUGCUUGUCCCAGUCAUAUAUUUCCUGUAAACAUAUAGCAUACUUUUUAACAUAAACAUAAUUUUCCACUAUAAUUAUUCAUAUCCUUAGGAAUGUUCACAUCCCAGAGACAACAUUUUAAUUUCAAAAUUUGUUUUUAGUGAUUUUUUUCUGAGGCACAUCUGACUUCAAAACUAGUCAGUUCCACUGCUCCACAAGGGUGUGGUGUGAAAGCACAGGGAACACAAUCUGUCAACCUGGAAGUGAUGCUGAAGCCCUGUUUGGAAGAACCUUCCAUGAUAUUGUCAGCAAGAGAUCAGUAUAACAGAGCCCAUCCUGGGAGAGAUGUCCUAGCUAUUCUAGGUAUGGUGUAUUAUUAUAAUUAGGGAAAAAUAGUAAAAUAAGGCAGUGUAUCUAUAGACAUUUAGCAAAAACCUAUGAUACUGUCCUUGUGCUAAUUUAAAAUUAAUGGUUAUUUUUUCGAAAAGUAAAAUACAAGUUAAGCCACAUACUAUACUUCUCUGAUUUGACUAAUUCCUUCUUUACCACUAUAUUUCUGUGCCUUCCAAAUUAACUCAAUUUCUUUUCAUAGUAAACGUUGCCAAUAGCUUUGAAACAAUUCUCUGCUCCACUUCCACUAGUACAUUCUUUUGAUUUAAACCCAGCUAUAGCAUUUGUAACCAUUACUUUUAAUAUUAUGAUGGAGAUUUAUUAUAAUUCUGAAAAUAGUCUGCCCUUCUAGAGUUGUAAUUUGUGGCCUUUGGAAUGAAUGUAUUUAGUGCACCUCCACCACACUUAGAAUUUAUCAAUAAAUGCAGAUAUGCCAUGCUCAUAUAAGCAUAGAGCUGUUUUGUCUGAUCUGGAUGUUUUCCAGGUAUGUGGAUCUCAUAAUUCCCAUGCUAGAUUGACUUGAGAUUUUGGGGAUUAAUGACAUGUCUACAGGGCAUCCUCAUUGGGAAAAGUUGUAUUGUUGCCAUACAGUCCUGCAAUCUGUCCAUCCUUUUUUCAGUUUUCAGAAAUUAACUCCUGGUGCCUGUUUUCCUAUAAGGAUUGUACAUGGUAAAUAAUAUAACCAUGAAAAAUCCUACUCAGACAUUCCAUCUGAAACACUCAUGCAAUAAGUGACGCAGCUUAGCAGAUUCUGGAUUCUCACAAGAGAACGUAAGUGAGUGAGCACAUUGUACUUCAGUGGGUCACAAGACAAACAAGAGGGUUUCUAUUAAAAGACCAUUGAAUAAUAGGUCCAUGAUUCAUUCUGUGGGACAUACUCAUUCUUUUGGCACCAUCUCUGUGUUUCCUAGCUUUGUUAUGGCUCAGUAUCAAACCCGAAGUUCCCUGACUCAAAGAAGUCUCUCCCCUGGAACAUCCCCAGCAUUGUUUUACCAGCUAUUAUAUUGCAGUCAUAAUCUCUAUUGCAGCUUUUAUGUCUUCAAUAUUUUGUGUUUGACAAAAUGGACAGUUUGACUGAACAGUUUCUACUUCUGAAGCUAAACAGAUAAGAAACUAUGAUAACAACUGGAGAUAGCAGAAGAGAAGUGAAAGAGCUGAAGAAAGCAAAGAUAGUACCGACAGUAAUAGAUUUGUUGACAAAAUCCUUAUCAGUCAAUUGCAAAGGCUUGACUUGGAACAGCUUACAUCUUUUGACAAUACCUUUUAAUUUUAUAAAACAACAACAUCUGCCUAUCCUACAUCCUUGGGAGGGACUCAACAGGUGGACAAAAUGUCAGAUCUAAUCUAAACAGCUGGCUGACUGAGUGAUCAACCAAAAUAUAAAAAAUGGCAAGUGUGAUGAAGUGAGGGGUCUGCCUCUCCCUCACAAAAAGCCUGAGUAAACAGCCAAGUCUUUACUGCUUUCUGAACAACAACAGAAGAAGGCCAUCCAAAACUCAAUAGUCCAAAGAGAUGACAUUAUUUGAAGCUUCAAUCCUAGAAGAUCAAAUCAACUGAAGGCACUAUGGGAAACUGGUAGUCCCUAUGCCAUUCAGAGCAUUACAGAAAACAACCAACAUCUUGAAUCACACCUGGAAGCAAACCAGCAAUUGGCACAGCUCAUGAAGCAGCAAGGUUUAAUGGACAUACUGAAGCAUGCCCAUUGUUGCUCACAUUGCUACAAUGCUGGAUUAGGUACUCUUCAAGUACAGCCCCACAUAGCCUGUUUGCAAAUGUGCAAUUUCUUAUUUUCUCUGGGGUUUUUUCCUACUGGUUCAAUAAAAGAAAAGCUCUUAAAUGCAGUAUCUGCUAAACAAUCAGA